UACGGAGGGGGCUAGCGUUGUUCGGAAUUACUGGGCGUAAAGGGCGCGCAGGCGGCUGCUCAAGUCAGGCGUGAAAGGCCUGGGCUCAACCCGGGAAUUGCGCUUGAGACUGGGCUGGCUUGAGUGCGGGAGAGGAUGGUGGAAUUCCCAGUGUAGAGGUGAAAUUCGUAGAUAUUGGGAAGAACACCGGUGGCGAAGGCGGCGACCUGGGUUGACAUUGACGCUGAGGCGCGAAAGCGUGGGGAGCAAACAGG
rnacentral:rRNA from 1 species